CCCUUAGAUGUUCUGGGCCACACGCGCGUUACACUGAUGAAGCCAGCGAGUAUAUCGCCUUCACCGGAGGGUGCGGGUAAUCUUGUGAAACUUCAUCGUGCUGGGGAUAGACCAUUGCAAUUAUUGGUCUUGAACGAGGAAUUCCUAGUAAGCAUGAGUCAUCAACUCGUGCUGAUUACGUCCCUGCCCUUUGUACACACCGCCCGUCGCUACUACCGAUUGAAUGGUUUAGUGAGAUCUCGGGAUUGGAGACGUUGCGCCGCAAGGCACAUCGUCCUCGAGAACUUGAUCAAACUUGAUCAUUUAGAGGAAGUAAAAGUCGUAACA
rnacentral:rRNA from 1 species